rnacentral:misc_RNA from 1 species
UUAAUGACUUUUUUUUAACCAUUUGGAAAGAUUAAUAUCAUGUAUCUUAAUGUGCAUCUUUAAAGUAACAAUGUCUAUGAAUUGCAUUGCAAGUAGAAAAUCAUUGACGCUGUAUCGUAUAAAUUAGGUGCAGCAAGCGGUACGUGAGAGGCAGCAUGUGGAUCAUGCAUAUGUGUUAUCGGUAUAAAUUUAUAUGAAUUGCAGUCUGAAAAGAGAUGUGUAAACAAAUAAAGUACCAGUAUUUAGAUGUUGAAAGACAGUGCCAUUAUUAUAUUCUUACUUAUGUACAUGUAUAUAAACUAUUUGUCAGAUGACAUAUAGCAAUUGCCUAAUGAUGUUGGAGCUGUUUUUACGGGGACCAUUUGUCAUACAUGUGUGAAGUAGCUUUUAACAAAUCAGUGACCAAUAAUAAAAUCAUUUUGUACAUCAACAUUCAAUUUGAAAACACUGCUUUUGUAGUACAGAAAUUUUUUAUUUUUUAUUUUUUUUGCUGUCUUUAUGUUUUUCCCUGUAUGUGCUUUUAGUGCAAUAUCAGAGAAGAGUAUUUUCAAUGGUUUUUUAAAAAUAUUUUUGUUGAUUUAUAAUAUUGUUUUAUUGUUGAUUUGAUAUGUAUCUUGUUUGAUAAAAUAAAUUUGUUGUGAAC